UCUGUCCUCCAUGCUGCCACCACUGCAGCCUCUGCUCUGCUCUCUUGAAGCCUUGCAGCCCUGCCACCGUGUCGUGCCCAGAGCAUUAGGUGGAGCUCUUUUUAUAGAGUCAACAGUCAUGUAUUGCCCACAGGUGUGUAGUGAGCUAGUCAACCAGGGCCAGGUGAGAAUCCUGGCCACAGGAACUCUCAUUUUAUCCACAUAGGGCAUUUUAUCAGUUAGAAUUCUUUGAGAGGCCAACUCUAUCCAAUUUAACCUCUAUACUGGUAACAAUUUCUUAUGGACAAUGAUUUUAUAAUUUUAAUUUCUCUACAUUUAGUUAAAUGAAGAAGAAGAGAAGGCCAGUGUGCUACCAAAGGAAGCAUACUAUUUUUGAGUAAAGCAUCCCUAACAGUACCCAGCACAGUGAUCUGUAUUGACUAGACUCUCAGUAAGUAUUGGUAUAAAGAAAAAGGAGGGAAAAAAGGGAGAUAGACCUGUUUCAACGGGGUUUACCUGAGAAAUUCAUAAACAUUGAUCUCAUAUUCAUCCUCUCCUUAGGCCAUUUGGUUGUAGAUCCUGGACUAGAGGGCCUCAAUUGUUGUUGAUAAUAUGAGUGACAAUGUAGGAAAAUACUCUCUCCUUCAAGAUCAACCUAAAGCCAUAGUGUAAGGUGCUCUACAAUCAAUAAGCUGGGUUAGUUAAAAAGUAAACGAACACAGUUUUCACAUGCACACAAUCUCAGAAUAUGUGGGGAAGUAUAAAUAGAGUAGGUGGUUUUUCUUGAAAAAAUGUAUGGUAUUUCUGCUGAUGUGUUUGUUUAGUAUUGCACUUAUUUCUUUUUAAAUGUGGCUAAGGACCUCUAAUAUUAAAUAUCAUGGACUUUCUGUAGUGUAGGAUAGUCAUCCUCCUCCCCUAGGUAGUGUGAUUUCUCUUUCAUGUUAUUUAGAUAAAAGUAGGUUAUAUUGAAUUGUAUCAGGUGUUGCUGACAGGUUCUGACCUUUUGACCCAACCUUUCUAUUAUGCUUUUUUUAUUCUUCCAUAUGGAUGCUCUUUUUUCUUUCACAGUGUUUCAAGACUCAGCUACUGCUUUAUGAUGUUUGAUUCAUAUUCUUUAUCAAUAUGUUCCUUUCUGUAAACAAACAAAUCAAAUAUGUGUAGUGGUCUAUAAUUACAAUUUUCAGUCCUCUCUUUUUUAUUUAAGAAAAUACAUACAUACAAGUCUGUUUUUAGCUUAUAUUUUUGGUAGCUGUUUUAUUAAGGGAGAUGUAAAUAUUUUCAGUUUUUUCAGCAGAAUAGAAAUGUAAUCUCACCCCUGUCCUGAUGCACAAUAUUGUUUGGAAUGGAGUGAAAAACUUGUUUCAGAUUAAAAUACCCUUAUUAGAAAAAGAAGCUAAAAAGGUAAAUAUUAGUUGAUUUGAAAUAGAUCCUUUCCAACUAUGGCUUUGUUUUGUUGCCAGGGUACUGUUUUUUUCUUUUAUAGUCAACUUCUGUUUUCAUCUCUACAACCUAUACGAGAAACGAACAUCUUCAUGGUAAUUACUUGACAUUGAUUUCAUAGCUUCACAUUGUGAUUGGUGUGUUUGAUGACAUGGAUUAUGGUGGGGACACAUUGAAAGAUAAAUUGAGAGAAGAUAAAUGACUCAGGUUGUAUGUGUAUAUACACACUGUACCAGUUGAAGGUUAAAAGGCAACCAAGCAGCCCCACUAAACCAAAUUACCAUUCUGACUCAUUUUUUCACUAAAUUGUACAAGUUCUGUAACCUUAUUGAAAUCACCAAAUCAAUCAUGCCUUGGCAUCUUGUAGACACAGUCAUAAAAUAUUUUCCUGGAGAAAUGAGACUAUUUUAAUGGCUUCAUUUUUCCCUCUUCAGUGAAAAGCACUCAUUUGGACUGUGAAAGAGACAUUUUCCUCUUAUAAAUCCUUUAGAAUUCAAAAUAUUGGAACACUCAACUGUCACGAUGUCAUUUUUAUCCACACUUUUCACCACUGUGGUGAUUCUCAUUGCCAAGUAAAGAUUAGCACUAGACACUCUAUAGAAUUUAUAUUUUUCUGAUUUUUUUCUUUGUGAAUGUAAAGAGACAUUUUCAAGUGUAUUUUUACAGAAAUGCAUUGCAGUAAGACUGAAGGAGAAUUUACCAUUCUCAGGAAUUUGGUGUUGACUUUCGUGAUCAGCCUGCGUAAGAAGAUACUGUUCUAUCAUUUUGAGAUGGUUAAAAGCAAAGGAACUGUUGCUUUAAUUCCAUAAAUAAAAAAAUAUGUAUAUUAAAUAGGCAUUAAAUUUUAAUUGAGAAAGUAUGAUGCUAUUGGAGUAGGUUUUUAAGUCAUUUUAUCAGAGUAGGAAGUUAUUUUUAGAUUCAUGAAUAAAACAUUCCCAAACCAAUUAUAGUAAAAGUAGAUGCCUCUAGUGCAGUGAUAGUUUGAGUGCUUUUUAUUUGAAAUUUUAGAAUAAUGAAAGAUCAAUAAAGUUAUCAUUACUAAUAUGCCCCAAAGAAGUAAUGCUAUUUACGUGUAACAAAAAACAAAGUGCUUCUAAAUUAUAAAUAUGUAAGAUAACAUAAUGGAAAGAGCACAAGCUUUAGAUUUCACAGGCUGGGCUGAAAUCUUGGAUCCACCACUUAUUUAUUAACUGUGCAAAAGUUGCUGAGUCUCUCUGAGUCUCAGUUACCUCAUCUGAAAUAGGGAUAACAGUUUCUGUUUAAAAAAUGAUGUAUGCAGUUAUGUCUAUUAUGAAAAAAUGUGUGUAUGUUAGGCUCCAGAUUAAGGGCUCACUAAGUGUUAAAUGUUAUUACAAGCACCAUAGUUGUUUAAAUGUCCUCUCCAAACUGCAUGAACAUGAAGAUAUAUAGUUUAUAAGGUAGAAUGGAAAAUUCAUAUGAAUUUCAAAGCUAAGAGGAGCUCUGUGUGCCUCUGUGUGUCUGUGUUCUGUGGCUGCUAUUGUAGGGUAUGCCACCAGAUAAUGGGAUGAGAAUUUACUUUCCUUUAUUGUUAAGGAUGUAUUGAUGGGAAAAAAUUUUGUCACUCAUAGGACAUAAUUUAGCAAGUUUGUACCAAACGUUAGUUGAUUUUUAGAUAUGCAGCAACCCUUUACUCUUCAUAAAUGCACCCAGUUUCUUUUUGAGGAAUCAUCUCUUCGCUACUGGAUACAGUUUGGUGGUGCUCUAACUCGGCCUCUCUUUUCCUAAAUAGAGGGCAGCCAUAUAGCCCAGGGUAGACAAGUCAGGAGGUCGGUUCCUGGAAUUUGAUUUUUUUAAUAGAAGGCAACAAACAUGAAAGUCAGUUGACAUUCAUUCACUCCUAACGUUGGUGAAGCCCUCAUCACUGUGUUUCUGCAGUUUGCUUCCAAGUCUCAAGAGCUAUCCUUUGUUUCCAGUUCCUUCUAAAAUUAGAUCUGUAGUCUUCUGUUGUCCUGCUCUUUCAAAAAAAAAAUUCCUUUUGCCUAAAUUUCCACAGUGAUUGUCUGUUACUUGUGAUCAAAUAAUUGUGACUGAUAGAGGAUAAUAGCUAGAUUAUAUGUUGAAGGGACUGUGCUUUUGGUUGUUGUACACCAUGGUGUCACUAGCAUGAUGUUUCUAACAUAGUCACUAGAGGCUAAGCAUAGUGUCUGGCACACAGAGGGACUCACUGUAUAUUUACUGACUGAUCUGUUGCCUUAAGAGCAAAGGAACAAACUUCUAAUGGCAGCUUUGUGGCUUCCACACAGUAAAACACAUAUGUGUGUGCACACUGCUGUGCGUUUGGUCAGGGGAAGGGCGGUGUGCAGCUCCCAUGGCACUGCUUGGGUGUGAGGCAGCUGAGCAUGAAGGUGCUCCACAUGCACUCUGCCACUAUUCUGAGUUACAUUCAGAUGGAUUUGUUGUUCAGUAACCCUAUUUUGCAUUACUUCCCAGCACCAACACCCUGCUUCAGGAAACCACUGUCCUCAACGUUCCCCAAACACACCAUGCUCAUUCCCAAGUCCAGGUUAUGAUGUGCAAUUCCCUGUAUUGAUCUCUUCUGCCUCUUGAAUAAGUAGAACAGUUGUCACAUGUAUCAUCAUAGCAGAACAUGUAAGAGACAGCACUCUAGAUCCAUCAUACUCAUGAUUUAGAUCCCAAUUCUAUCAUUUAUUAGCUACUUGACUUGGGGUGAGUUCCUUAAGCAUGCUAUGAAUGUUACUACAUUUGUAAAACAGGGCUGAUGAUGCUGCCUAACUUAUCUGGGGGGGAGAAGAAUUUAAACUUAAUAUUGACAAGGGACUUACUUUAGAGCUUGGCACGCAGUGUUCUAGACAUUACAGCUGUUCAACAAUAUUUGGUUCCGUUCCACUUCUGGGCAUACAGGAUGAUUACAGUUCUCUGCUAUUGCCCACACCACCCCCACCUCCAAGUCUACUUCCUGGCUUGCUCUGCCAGAGAAGAAGCACCUUCAGACUGAAAUAUUCUAGAAUUCUAGUCAUCCUGUUGAGAACAUCUGUUCUGGAGACUUGCCUAAACCUGCAGUAGACUCCUACUGGGUUAAGUCGCAGCUGCAACCAGCCUAUGCAGAGUAGUAUACUACUAAUCUAAAAAAGUGUUAACUGAUUUUGCUAUAUAUUCACUUAUUCUGGCAGUCCUAUCCAUAAGAUCAUAGAUUUUUAGGUUUGUAUCUUUGUCUUCUCAGUGAAGUGUUAGAGAGAAGAUGUCGUAGCUUGUGCUUUUUUCUGUUAUCCCUCCUCAGUGCCUAACACCAUAUGGGUACAGUGUACCCUGUGAAUAUUAAUCACAUGAAAAAGAUACUCCAAUAUUCUAGCUCUGUAGGAAAUUCAUAGUUUCCCCAUGGGAUCUUUUGCAAAGGCUGAUAACGACUCAUCAGAGAGGAUUACAGCAGGUAUAUAUAAAUCCAUAAUCUCCAAAAUCUUUCUCUCAGUCCAAGUUUUUCUGUCUACCACAAAUCUGAGCCAGAAAGCUGAAAGUCAUGCUUAUCCCUCUUCUUCAUCUCCCACAUUCAGUCUAUAAGUCCUGUCAGUCUCUUUCCCAAAUAUCUCCCAAAUCUGUUUCUCUGUCUCCAUCUCCUCAACAACUAUCUUCGUUCUGUUCACCAUAAUUUAUUUAAGGGAUAAUUGAAACAGCCUCCUUACUGUUCUUAUUUCUAGCCUUGCCCCAUCCCAUCUGUUUUGUUCUCUUGAUCCAGAGUGAACGUUUUAUAAAACACAGAUCUGAUCACGUCACUUGUCUGCUUUAAAUGGGUUUCCCACUGCCUUCGUGAUAAAUUCCAGAUUCUCUAAUUUGGCAAAUAAUGUCCUCUGUGAUUUUCUAAUCUUUUCUCAUGAUUUUGCGUCACUACCCCUCUCAAACACUGUGCUUCAGUCAUGUUGAAUUAUUCAGUUCUUUAAACAAGCCCUAUUUUCCUCUUUAAGCCUUCUCAUACUUUUCUUUUAGCCUGGAAUAUUCUUCAUGUUGCCACUUUGCUUGAUUAACUCCUAUUCGUCCUUCAGGUCUCAGCUCAGAUGAUUAUACCCUCUGGGAAGUUUUGCAGACCUUCCCAGAACUGUUCAUCCUUAGCACCUCCUGCUUAACCUUCAUGUGACAAAGUCAUAUAGCAUAUUGACUUGUGAUCAGAGGGAUCUGCGUUUCAGUAUCAGCUUUGCCAGUUUUUCAAGGAGUGACUUUGGGCAAAUUACAUGGUACAUGAUGAUGAUGAUCUUAUCUUCCUUGUAUUAUUGGAUCAAAAGCUUUCAGCACAGCACUGGGAGCAUAGCAAAUGCUUAAUAAAUGCUCGCUACCUUUGUUGUUGCCUCACUUAACAAAAAGACUAUCCCCAAGAGUCCUAAGUGAAUGAUCCCAUGCUCAACUCUGAGAAUAAGUUUCUCCUCUUUCCACGUUUUUUAAAUCAAUGAAAGCAACCCUAUUUUUUAGUGACAAAUAGAGAAUUAAACUCUGUUUCUCCUAAUACUACUAGAGUUUUCACUCAGUGCCUUUGGGAAAAUGUUUAGUGAACCUGAGUGAUAAGAACUUCAUAUAAAAUUUUCUACAAGUACAACUCUUCAGCUCUUUGAUUUUGAGGGGCUCAGAUCAUUGCAUUUUCUAGUCAUAGAGGCAUCGUUUCAAUACGAAAGGCAUUCUGUUUCUUAUGAAGAGAUAUCAGGAUGCUGUGCUGAGUAAUUGCCCCAGUGCAUUUUCUGGGCUGUCUGUUCUUUAAAGAAUAAUUCCCCUGUGCCUAAGUAAAUCCACAGAGGCUCUGUUUACUGGGUCUUUAGAAACCAUCUGGUUGGUCAACACUCAGGGAAAGUCUGUAUCUAAAUGAGUCAAGGAUAUUUGCCUUACUUUUUUAGAGAUCUAAAAUGGAAGGAAAUUCCUUUCAAGAUAUAGUCCCUUGGCUAAAAGUUAAGCACAUCUCCCCAGUGUGCUAGUUAUUUCUAGUUUCCAUGUAAUGAAUAACUUUAAUGUUUAAUAGUGGCAGUGAGUUAUUAAAAUUAUCAUAUGCUCUCAGUCUUCUGAAGACUACAUCAGAUAAAUUAUUUUGACUGUUUAUCAUCCAACAUUUCUUCUCUGAGUACAAUCAUGUCCUUCAAUACUGGAGAACAAGACACCUAUUUGUACACAUGUGUAACAUUGCUAGCUUUUAAAAUAACGUAACAGAUUCUUCUUUUAUAGUACUUAAUUAUUAAUCCAUCCUAAAAUAAGUGCAAUUAUUAAUGGUGGGGAGAAAGGAUGAGGUGAUAGAGGAGGAAGGUUAUAUAAGUGGAAUGUUCCUAGACUUCUCGGACUUAGUAAUUCCUCCUAUAUUUAGUCCUUUUUCCCAGCUAAUUCUCAAUGUGGAUAUGAUGCUUGGCAGAGAUAUGAAGAAUCCUGUUGCAGAUCUCUCUCUCAACAGGCAAUUUAGGCUUUAUUGACUACUUUGAAAUCAGCAAAAGUCUAAUGGAACCUCUUACCCUGAUCGAGGGAGAGGAAGUAGUUUCUCUAAAUUGUUCAUAUUCAAUCCCUUGUCUCACAAUCCUAGUGGGAGGGAACAAACCCUAGAGAUACACAUUCAAAUUGCCCAGGUGCCAGGAGUGGGUCCCUGGCCCUGCACUCGGAGAAUUAAAAAGCUACCCUACAGAGAUGAGGGAUACAAAGGGCUCUAGAAUAAAUUCUCCUUAUGUGCCACCUGGUACCCCCUCCAUCCACCCCUGUAGCUUCACCCCAGGCUAUGUGUAAAACUUAACAAAUAUAGGUCUUCAAAAAUGUGUACUGAUCUGCUAUUUCCUUAGGAAAGACAGUUUCCCUAAAGAAGCUUUCUCUUCAUGUACAGAGAAGAAGGAGGUCUUGCCUCAUUCUUCCUUUAAACCAGCAAGCUCUACUAUAGAAGCUCAAAUCAUCCAUUUUUAUUUUUAUUGUGGUUCCGCAGAUCAAACGACAAGAACGUACUAAAUAACUGCUACCAAGAACACCCGAAUCAAAUACUUCGGAUGAGAAAAAGAAUGAAAGUCAUUAAAUAUUGCCUUUUCCUGGGGAUAAGUAAUUCUAAAAGCAAAAGCAUGGAGCUGUAUCUGCUGUCGAUCAAACGUUCCUAACAACACCCAUCUUCUAAAGUACAUUCUGCCUGGGAACAAGAAAGAAAAAAGAAGUUAUCUUUUGUAUAAACAGCUUCCCUUUAUCUACUCCUGUCCCACAUGCGUUAAGAUAGCUGGUUAAGACAGAACUCUACAUACCUGAAAUGUCUGGGUUUGACAUCAAGAUGAUUAGGGUGUAUCUAGUUCAGUCUCCUAUCUGACUUUUAACCUCACUGGUUGAUUUUAAAAUAAAAAAUGUUUCUUUUUGCUCUACCUGAGUUUUGUUUGUAUUGAAUUUCCUUUCCUGUCAUAAAAGUUGAUCAAAUAAGGGAAUAUUGAGUUGUC